rnacentral:rRNA from 1 species
ACGAACGCUGGCGGCAGGCCUAACACAUGCAAGUCGAGCUAGAUCUUCGGGUCUAGCGGCGGACGGGUGAGUAACGCGUGGGAAUAUGCCCUUCUCUGCGGAAUAGCCUCGGGAAACUGAGCGUAAUACCGCAUACGCCCUUUGGGGGAAAGAUUUAUCGGAGAAGGAUUAGCCCGCGUUGGAUUAGGUAGUUGGUGGGGUAACGGCCUACCAAGCCGACGAUCCAUAGCUGGUUUGAGAGGAUGAUCAGCCACACUGGGACUGAGACACGGCCCAGACUCCUACGGGAGGCAGCAGUGGGGAAUCUUAGACAAUGGGGGCAACCCUGAUCUAGCCAUGCCGCGUGAGUGAUGAAGGCCUUAGGGUUGUAAAGCUCUUUCAGCUGGGAAGAUAAUGACGGUACCAGCAGAAGAAGCCCCGGCUAACUCCGUG